rnacentral:rRNA from 1 species
CCUACGGGGGGCAGCAGUGAGGAAUAUUGGUCAAUGGACGAGAGUCUGAACCAGCCAAGUAGCGUGAAGGAUGACUGCCCUAUGGGUUGUAAACUUCUUUUAUAUGGGAAUAAAACGUUCCACGUGUGGGAUUUUGUAUGUACCAUAUGAAUAAGGAUCGGCUAACUCCGUGCCAGCAGCCGCGGUAAUACGGAGGAUCCGAGCGUUAUCCGGAUUUAUUGGGUUUAAAGGGAGCGUAGGUGGAUUGAUAAGUCAGUUGUGAAAGUUUGCGGCUCAACCGUAAAAUUGCAGUUGAAACUGGCAGUCUUGAGUACAGUAGAGGUGGGCGGAAUUCGUGGUGUAGCGGUGAAAUGCUUAGAUAUCACGAAGAACUCCGAUUGCGAAGGCAGUUCACUGGACUGCAACUGACACUGAGGCUCGAAAGUGUGGGUAUCAAACAGGAUUAGAUACCCCAGUAGUC